GAUGAACGCUGGCGGCGUGCCUAAUACAUGCAAGUCGAGCGAACAGACGAGGAGCUUGCUCCUCUGAUGUUAGCGGCGGACGGGUGAGUAACACGUGGAUAACCUACCUAUAAGACUGGGAUAACUUCGGGAAACCGGAGCUAAUACCGGAUAAUAUUUUGAACCGCAUGGUUCAACAGUGAAAGACGUUCUUGCUGUCACUUAUAGAUGGAUCCGCGCUGCAUUAGCUAGUUGGUAAGGUAACGGCUUACCAAGGCAACGAUGCAUAGCCGACCUGAGAGGGUGAUCGGCCACACUGGAACAGAGACACGGUCCAGACUCCUACGGGAGGCAGCAGUAGGGAAUCUUCCGCAAUGGGCGAAAGCAUGACGGAGCAACGCCGCGUGAGUGAUGAAGGUCUUCGGAUCGUAAAACUCUGUUAUUAGGGAAGAACAGAUGUGUAAGUAACUGUGCACAUCUUGACGGUACCUAAUCAGAAAGCCACGGCUAACUACGUG
rnacentral:rRNA from 1 species